rnacentral:rRNA from 1 species
GAUGAACGCUGGCGGCGUGCCUAAUACAUGCAAGUCGAGCGAACAGACGAGGAGCUUGCUCCUUUGACGUUAGCGGCGGACGGGUGAGUAACACGUAGGUAACCUACCUAUAAGACUGGGAUAACUUCGGGAAACCGGAGCUAAUACCGGAUAAUAUUUCGAACCGCAUGGUUCGAUAGUGAAAGAUGGCUUUGCUAUCACUUAUAGAUGGACCUGCGCCGUAUUAGCUAGUUGGUAAGGUAACGGCUUACCAAGGCAACGAUACGUAGCCGACCUGAGAGGGUGAUCGGCCACACUGGAACUGAGACACGGUCCAGACUCCUACGGGAGGCAGCAGUAGGGAAUCUUCCGCAAUGGGCGAAAGCCUGACGGAGCAACGCCGCGUGAGUGAUGAAGGGCUUCGGAUCGUAAAACUCUGUUAUUAGGGAAGAACAAACGUGUAAGUAACUGGGCACGUCUCGACGGUACCUAAUCAGAAAGCCACGGCUAACUACGUGC